rnacentral:rRNA from 1 species
AUGGCCGCCGCCGCCGAGCGCGUCGGCCCCGUCGCUGCGCUCUACGCCGUCGACAUCGACGAGGUGCAGGACUUCAACGCCAUGUACGAGCUCCACGUGAGGCCCUGCACCGUCAUCUUCUUCUACGGGAACUUGUGCGUCGACGUACGCGGCCCCCACUCUAGGGACGACAUCGUCUGGCCCGCGUACGGCAGCGAUGACUUCGCCGGCCUUGUCCGGGCGGUGCACGAGAGAGCCAGGGCUGGGCGCCGCAUCGUCGUCCUCGGCUAG